AUUUAGAGCAAAUCUGACGGGGUAAAAAUGAUUAUCAGGUCAAGAUCUAUCUGCCCUGAAAUUUACAGAUGAAUCGGACAACCUGUUGUUGGGUUGCUGCCCCUGAAUUGGUAAUUUUAAGGAAAUUUUGCUGUUUUUGGUUAUUUAUCUUGAAUAUUAUUAUAGAUAGAGAUAAACUGUAAACAGCAAUAAUGUUCAGCAAAGUAAGAUUUACAAAUAAGUCAACAUGACUGAAAUGGUCAGUUGACCCCUUUAGGAGUUAUUGCCCUUUAUAGUCAAUUUUUAACCAUUUUUUGUAAAUCUUAGUAAUCUAUUACAAAAAUCUUCUCCUCUGAAACCACUGUGCCAAAUUAAACCAAACUUGGCCACAAUCAUCAUUGGGGUAUCUAGUUAAAAAAAUGUGUGGCGUGACCCGGUCAACCAACCAAGAUGGCCGCCACGGCUAAAAAUAGAACAUAGGGGUAAAAUUCAGUUUUUGGCUUAUAACUCAAAAAUCAAAGCAUUUAGAGCAAAUCUGACAUAAGUAAAAAUGAUUAUCAGGUCAAGAUCUAUCUGCCCUGAAAUUUUCAGAUGAAUCGGACGACCUGUUGUUGGGUUGCUGCCCCUGAAUUGGUAAUUUUAAGGAAAUUUUGCUGUUUUUGGUUAUUAUCUUGAAUAUUAUUAUAGAUAGAGAUAAACUGUAAACAGCAAUAAUGUUCAGCAAAGUAAGAUUUACAAAUAAGUCAACAUGACUGAAAUGGUCAGUUGACCCCUUUAGGAGUUAUUGCCCUUUAUAGUCAAUUUUGAACCAUUUUUCGUAAAUCUUAGUUAUCUUUUACAAAAAUCUUCUCCUCUGAAACUACUGGGCCAAGUUCAUUAUAGAUAGAGAUAAUUGUAAGCAGCAAGAAUGUUCAGUAAAGUAAGAUUUACAAACACAUCACCAUCACCAAAAACACAAUUUUGUCAUGAAUCCAUCUGCGUCCUUUGUUUAAUAUUCACAUAGACCAAGGUGAGCGACACAGGCUCUUUGGAGCCUCUAGUUUU
rnacentral:lncRNA from 1 species